AAUUGAAGUGAAGGGAUUUCAUUUUUGUUGAAGUUAGUCAAAUAAAUUACCCACUGGGAUGUAGCCAAAGCCCUACAAGAACAGUUGAGUUUUUUGUAUUUUUAUUUUGUCCUUAUAUUUCAUAGCAGUGUAGUGUUACCUAUCAGAGUAAAUCUAUAAUCUGACAUGAGUCUGUUAUUGUCCUAGAUGGGAAGAAACCCUUAAAACAAGUUGCUAAGGAUUCUGAUUUCAGAUUAGGCAUUCCAGUUUCUUUCCAUGAGGUUAACUGCCAGUACAGUCUCCACAAUUUGAAUGACAUCAAUCAUUCUAUAAUUCCUGCCAAAAUCACCUACUAGUUAUGCAUUAUCAGGGCUCUCUUUGCACUCUCAAGAAGAACUGAAAACUUUAAAGAGUUGUUUAUCUUUAUGUGUUUUGAAGAAUAUCUUUAUAUUGUUUCUUCUGACACUCUCCACAAUGGAAAAAUUAUCAAAUUAAGCCUACCUU
rnacentral:lncRNA from 1 species